rnacentral:lncRNA from 1 species
UUUUUACAAAUGUUUGCAGCAGAUUCCACAGAACAAAGAGCCCAUUCAUUGCCAAGAGCCCUGCAGAAUCUCUGAGCCAAGUGGCUGUGUGUUCCGAGCUGGAGCCUGACCUGUGGACCGCCUUUAAUGUCUUCUGCACCCAGUCCUUUUAUGACAUGGGCUUCUUUUAAACAGGGUAAAGUAAAUGGGCUGCUUUGCAAACUCAGGUAUUAUGAGGAGAAGGUAGGAGUGUAGCUAGCAGCGUGGAGACAUUAGGUCAGCCACUAGAUGUAUUUGUGAUUUUGGUUUGAAGGACACAGAGAAAGGUUGGAGGAGGAGGUUUGGUAUGCUUGUUUUUUGCCUUUUUUCCUAUAAUGUUUGAUUAACAGGCAGCCUUUUAGCUAGUGGAAGAAGGAAAAACUUGUGCAUGCUAUAUCUCAUUCCCCCCUCUCUCUCUCCUGUCCUCUCUGAUCCAGACCACCAAAAAUACUCACUUUGAGUGAGAAUUUUUCAACCAUAAAAACAUAUAGCCCCCAAAGCCAUGUGGAGAAGGAGAGCCCACCUCCUUGCACUGUGCUGAAACAUAGAGGUUUCCCCCUGCCUUUUCUUAUGUAUGCUUUCUUGACCCAAGGCAGAAGUGUGGAGUCUUAGAGCUUUGUAAUUCCUGUUCUCUGGCUCCCUUUAAAGGCCAUUUUUGUCCUUUGCAAGGUUUGGUAGUCUCACCCUUAGUUCGAUGAAAUUCCCUACAACUCCUCUCAAAGCACUCUACCUGGGUCCGGACACCCAGUCCCCAGGGCCAACCUACAAGUGAAGGAGACAGGUCUCUAGGGUAGAGGGAAGCAGGCAGGAACCUCCCUGUCCUGAUCUUAGAACAGUGGAAGUGAAGAACACCCCACACUCUCUAGCUUUAGAAUACUGGGGUUUUGGUUUUGGUUUUUUAAAUUGCAGUUGUUUUAAGAAAUUCAACCUUUCAGACCAGCCCUUCCACUAAACUUUGAUUCUUUUUCUUUACUGCUUUUUUAAACCU